AUUGAACGCUGGCGGCAGGCCUAACACAUGCAAGUCGAGCGAGCGGCGGACGGGUGAGUAAUGUGUGGGAAACUGCCUGAUGGAGGGGGAUAACUCCUGGAAACGGUAGCUAAUACCGCAUACCAUCGGGUGUGCCCAGCGGGGAUGAGCUUGUAGGUGGGGUAACGGCUUACCUUAGCGACGAUCCCUAGCUGGUCUGAGCGGAUGACCAGGCGACCGGGAACAGUGACACGGUGCAGAGGCCUACGGUAGGAAGCGGUGGGGAAGAGUGGACUAUGGCAGCAAGCCUGAUGGAGCCAUGCCGCGUGGAUGAAGAAGGCCUUCAGGUUGUAAAGUACUUACAGCGGGUAGGCGUUACCCGCAGAAGAAGCGCCGGCUAACUCCGUGCCAGCCGCCGCGGUAAUAC
rnacentral:rRNA from 1 species